CUCUGCAAAUCGAGCGGUAUUGUUUCUUCGGAAACGAGAGAGCGGCGCACGGGUGCGGAACACGUGUGCAACCUGCCUUUAUCUGGGGGAUAGCCUUUCGAAAGGAAGAUUAAUACCCCAUAAUAUUUUGAAUGGCAUCAUUUAAAAUUGAAAACUCCGGUGGAUAGAGAUGGGCACGCGCAAGAUUAGAUAGUUGGUAGGGUAACGGCCUACCAAGUCAGUGAUCUUUAUGGGGCCUGAGAGGGUGAUCCCCCACACUGGUACUGAGACACGGACCAGACUCCUACGGGAGGCAUCAGUGAGGAAUAUUGGAGCAUGGGUGAUAGCCUGAUCCAGCCAUCCCGCGUGAAGGACGACGGUCCCUAUGGGUNGUAAACUUCUUUUGUACAGGGACUAAGCUUUUCACGUGGUGGAAAGCUUGAAGGUACUGGACCAAUUAGCCCCGGCUAA
rnacentral:rRNA from 1 species